CGCUAAGAAGCUAAACUGGUUUAUAAGCGUUAGCCUUUUAAGCUAAAGAUUGGUGACUACCACCCACCCUCAGCGA
rnacentral:tRNA from 1 species